UUUCCUAGAAACUCUCAAUCUUAGAAAAAUUGUUAGGUGUCUUAAAGAUGAGUUAGUGAGAAACACUUCUCCCUCUAGGGAAAAGUAUCCUAUUAGUGUGUAUGUAUGUAAAAUAGAAAGAUCUGAUUAAAGAUUUUUCUUAUGUAAUAUUUUCAUGGAAUAAAGAGUUUUGUUUCUAUAUCCUUUGUCCACUUCAAUUGUUAGCCAUAAGUGAAGGUUGUGAUCUUCAGCCUUAUAGGAGGAAAGAUACUAAUUUAGCCUCAGACUGAGUGUCAUAAUAGGCUAAACAAUAUUUCAUUGCCAGAAGAGAAGUACUGUGGUACUAAUAUAGCUAGCAUAAGAAAGAGCCGAAAGGUAUAAACAUAAACUCUAUACUUUGUGAAGUGAUUAGCAUAAGAAGAAAUCUAUCUUCAUAUCUGCUCUAUGCAUAUUCGUACAUCUACAUGACACUAAGUACCUAUAGGGAAUAAUCAUCAUCAUGGAAUUUUCAAUAUUUUAGUAAUGAAAGUUGUUCAACCACAACUAAAAAAGAUCAGAAAAAGAUUUUUGAUAUCCAAAAAAUUUAUAGAAACUCUUGACAAAGAUAUCCAAAAGAUGCAAAACUAUCUUUGGAAAGGCUUUAUUAUAGAUAUCACAAUAAUUGACAUGAUAUAUGAAGCUCGCAUGCUAAAAGAAAUUGAAAAUUUUCUGUAUAAAAAUUGGACUCUUCUAUUAAAAGAAUCCACCCUUCAUACAGCCUAAUGAGGUACUAUACUAUUUUUCUUAAUGAAAAAACCUUGAUCACUAUCUUAUAAGUAAUCAAAUUAAGGAAUUGCAAGAAAAGAUCCGUGAAAAAAUUAUCGACAGUCUUGUUCAAGAACAAUGGUCUAUUCAUGAUUAUUCAUAUGUAGAUAGCGAUGAUGACUUAUACUAUUUGGAUGAUGAAGGUUAUUUCUCUGAAUGAAUCAAUUAAAUUCCACUGAAAUACCCUAUUUACGAACAAACCCCUCCAAUUAAAUAAGAAUUUGCAAGAAAAGAUUCUUGAAAAAAUCAUCGAUAGUCUUAUUCAAGAACAAUGAUCUAUUUAUGAUUAUUCAUAUGUAGAUAGCGAUGAUGACAUAAUACUAUUUGUUUGAUGAAGGUUAUUUCUCUGAAUGAAUCAAUUAAAUUCCGCUGAAAUACCCUAUUUGCGAACAACCCUCUCCAAGUAUAUAUAUAUAUAUAUAUAUAUAUCAUCGUUAUAAGAAGUGAUCAUUGAUGAGAAUUUAAAAGUAAAUCCUUUGAGCCAUUUUAUGAUGAAAAAGGUUACCAUGCAGAUUCAUCAACAAUCUAAGAUAGUCGAAAGAAUGAUUUGAACACUUAAAUAUAUGAGAAAUAUCAUAAUUGUAGAUUAUUUUUUUUUGUCAAAUUCACUUUUGGGAAAAAUUUGUAAACACAACUUGCCACAUUCUCACCAGAUGCUUGACUAGACCCUUUCUAAAUAAGCUGUGGAGUGAUAAUAAGCCUAACAUAGUUACUUUCAUUUAUUUCGAUCGUAACAAUUCUCAUAGUGAUUUUUUUUAUUUUUGAUGUAUUUUAACUAUUUUAUUCUUUCUUUAGUUGCAUUAUGAUAUUUGUGGUCUUUGAGGGUGGGUGGUUCGAUUUUUGAGGUGAUUGGUAAAGUAUUUUAAGAACUUAUUAUUUUGAAAGGUUUAAAAAAAUGGUAAUGUGAAUUUGGUCAACAUUCAGAGAUUCAGGCCUCAUAUGAAGAUUUCAUUAGUUUCUUAACUUUGAAUGUCAUUUUUGGUUUAGUAGCACUGUUAGUUCAGGUCUCAGAACUUUUGACUUGAUUUUGAGUUUUAUGACGAGAUACUGAAAAGUUAAGUCUUAGAGUUGACUUUGGUCAACAUCCAUUGAUAUGACCACCAUUUGAAAAGUUAUUGAUUUCAUUGAGUCGAGAAUAUCGAUUUAGGCCAGUAGCAUAGUUGAUUUCUAUUAAUAGGGUUUUGAAAGAGUUACAAAGGAUGGUUCGUGGAUUCUUGGGAAGUUGAUUUGACGGUUUUAGUUGUUGCUAGUGCAACCCCCAACCUUUCUUCUAGUUCACGAUACCCUAAUCACAAUCAUGAAGAGGUAAUAGUGUCGUCUUUCACGUAUGCAUAGGGGCAUCAUAAUCUCGUAAGAAUUUUGAUGGGAUAGGGUAAACUUUGUUCAUUGCAUCCACGAUGUGACAGGUUGGGAUGGUCAGCCUCGUAAUUGUGAGGGACCUAUUGGCCACAAUGAAGGAGUCAACCUAGACAGAUUUAAUAUUUUUUUUUAGUUUAAAAUUUCUUAACUAAAUUUUUAAAGCUUGGAAACUUAUUUUGGAAAGAUUUAAAAGGUGAUUUUUGAUAUUUCUUUGUUGGGUUAGUUUCUAAAUUAAUAUUUUAACAUUCUCUAAUGAUUAUUUCGUGAUUCAUCUUCAAAUCUUGAUUUUUCAAAUUGAAAACUUGGAGAUUCUAGUAAAGUGAAAGAAUGAUAAAUUGGUUAUUUUAUUGUUGAUGUUAACUCUAUUUUUUUGAUGAAAAUUUUGAUUUGGACUCCUUAGGUUAUGCAUAAUGCGAUUUUUCAAUAAAAUUUUAGUUUUGCCCUUGUGGGCUUCGGAUUGACUUUUUGCAAUUGAAAUUUAAUUAUAAUAAUAUGAGUGUCUAUCAUAACAUUUUUUUAUCUAGAAUUCGUAUUUGACAACAUUGGGAUCAUUAAUAGGUUCUUUAGAAAGACAAGACUUUGAUUCAAAUUUUUGAGCUUUCUUUAAGGCAAAUUGAGACUUUAUUUGACUCUUUUAGAUGUGUUUAUGUGUUAGUUGGUAAAGGAGAGUAAUGAAGAUAUGUGUGUCCCGUAUAGAUGAGAUAAAGAGCGCCUAUGCGGGUACUGUUAUAUUGUUAAGGGAAAAAAACAACUAAUUGGUUGUUUUAACUGAGUUUCAGAGAUAUUUGACUUUGUGAUAUAUUCGGUCAAUGAUUGAGUUCUUGGUGCCUAAUUUACUUAUUUACAUGCUAAGAGCUUGGAUCUAACACCCCCCAAAUCCAAGUCAAUCGUAGAACCAAGCUUUAAGUUCAUGCAAAAUCAAACAUCAUUUUUUGGUUGUUUGAUAAGUGAUUAAGACAUAUAUUAGGACCUCAAAUAACUCCUAGCUUAUAGACAUGUCAAAUUAUCCCCGACCGAUUGAAUUCGUGUAAAGAAUAUUGCUAUAGUCAGCUUCAAAAGAGCAUAAAUUUGGAUUACUAAGAAUUUUUGAGCUUAAGACUUACAAAAAGAUAGAUAAUUGAACUAUAUUUCCAACGGCACCAGUUUCACCUUAAUUCAAUAUCGGAGUAAAAAGUUAUGGCCAAAUUACUGAAGUAUUGUCAAAGUUGCUAGUGACGACGAAUCGUCGUCAUGAAUCCAUGAGUUGUCAGAAGACUCGUCGUCAUGGAAGUGGGGGACAAAAUUUGGGUCCUUUGUCUAUGACUCGUAGCCAGACCCUAUGAUUCAUAGCCUAAGCCGUAGGGACUGCUUUCAGGCAUUUUCCAGAUUAUUUUUAAGGGUUGUUUGGCCUUGUCUCACCACUUUAACACCAAAACUAUGUCGUUUAAACUUUCCAAGGAUUGAAUCGUUAUACUAAAACACCCAUAAGUCCCCCAUUCCUCAAAAUUCAUUCAAUUCUUAGCAAAUUUAGAGAGAGAAAAAACAAUUUUCCUUUCCAAACAAUAAAUAGGGUUUUUAACUUCAGGGUUCAAAUCCAAAAAUUUCUUCAAGGUUUUAAACCCCAGGCAUAUGGCAUUUCAUCAGUGUAUUUCCUUUACCCAUUGAGUCCUAAAGAUUACUCAAUUCCCCAAGUUUAAUUCACCCUUCAAGCUUAGGAUUUUCGUAAGAAGCAAAAAUUUCUUGAGUUUUUAGUUUAUUUCUUUAACUAAACCAUGGAUAUAUGUUUUCACAUAAAUUUGAGCAUCUUCCCAUACUCAGAAUUAUAAAAUCUCAUUAUAUAUAUAAAUUCUUGAUUAUCGGGCUUGAGUUAUGAUAUUUCUUAUUAUGUUCAGAUUUUAAUAUUGCCAUAAUUAGUUGUAUUCUUUAGAGAUGGUGGGUUAUGAACACCGAUGACCUAGGAUUUCACGCAUACACUUACAAAUUCUAGAUUCUCCAGAUUACAUAUUAUUGAAUACUUUUUGAUUAUGCAUUUAUUAUCGAUUUUAUUAUUAUUAUUGAACAGUUUCUAUUAUUAGUGUCAUUCAGUUGGGAGUAGUAUUUAGCCCCGAACAAACGCAGGGAUGGAGGAUCACCCGUUAGUUAGGUUGAGACCUUUAGUAGAAGUCCCUAAGUUCCAUAACUAUGGUGUCACCAUAGGUUCUAAAGGGUCACUCAUCAAACUAGGUUGACACCUUAGUCCAUUCGAACUUUAGUUUAGUGGAUCCAUGUAAGUCAGUAUUCAUACCCUUGGCAAGGUAUUGAACAUCCAUCUAACUAAAGUUACUCGUUGGAUCUUGGUUAGCUCAGAUUAGGGUAUAUCGGUUAACGGUAGCUCCCAUAGUCCACAAUUCAUAGUUCAGCUCAAGAUUUUUGCAUGACCUUGUACUUAAUUGUUUAGCUUAUCGUACAAUACAUGUUUUUACUUGGUUUGCAUUAGUUUACAAUGUCACAUGCAUCUUGUUCCGCUUAUAGCAGUGAUUUUCCUAUCUCAUAUACUUAGUACAUUCAAAGUACUGAUCGCAUAGUUUCUUUGUGCUUAUAUUAUCUUAUAAUAUAGGUUUUGAUGCUCAACAUCCAGAUCGUGCUUAGUGCAAUUCCUCACUAUAUCAGCAAUAAUGUUUGGUAAGUCCUCAUAAUUUGAGGGCCAAUUAUCAACAUUUCUUUUUAGUAAUAUUUUAGUUUCAGAUAAUUGGAGUUAGUUAGGGGCUUGUCCUAACAACUCAUAUUUUAAAGGCUUUCUGAUAGAUAGUUAUAUUUUCAGCGCAUUGAUGUCGUCAAAUAGUUUAAGUGUGAUAUCAAAUAUUGAUUUCAAUUUUAUUAUAAUCAAGUUUUUUUAGUUUAGCUUUCGC
rnacentral:lncRNA from 1 species